rnacentral:ncRNA from 1 species
GUUAAGGGGUGCUCGAUAUUUCGGGCUGAGAUGAUACCCUCACACCUGAACCGGGUAAUGCCGGCGUAGGAAUUUU